rnacentral:rRNA from 1 species
UGCGGAAGGAUCAUUAUCGAGUUUUGAACUGGGUUGUAGCUGGCCUUCCGAGGCAUGUGCACGCCCUGCUCAUCCACUCUACACCUGUGCACUCACUGUGGGCUUCAGGCAUUAUUGCGGAGCGCGUUCCUCACUGGACUUGUGGAAGCAGUGUGUCUGUGCCUACGUUUAUCACAAACUCUAUAAAGUAUCAGAAUGUGUAUUGCGAUGUAACGCAUCUAUAUACAACUUUCAGCAACGGAUCUCUUGGCUCUCGCAUCGAUGAAGAACGCAGCGAAAUGCGAUAAGUAAUGUGAAUUGCAGAAUUCAGUGAAUCAUCGAAUCUUUGAACGCACCUUGCGCUCCUUGGUAUUCCGAGGAGCAUGCCUGUUUGAGUGUCAUGAAAUCUUCAACCUACGAGCUUUUGUGGUUUGUAGGCUUGGACUUGGAGGCUUGUCGGCCGUUCUUGGUCGGCUUCUCUUAAAUGCAUUAGCUUGGUUCCUUGCGGAUCGGCUCUCGGUGUGAUAAUGUCUACGCUGCGACCGUGAAGCGUUUGGCGAGCUUCUAACCGUCUCUUUGAGACAGCUUUAUGACCUCUGACCUCAAAUCAGGUAGGACUACCCGCUGAACUUAAGCAUAUCAAUAAGCGGAGGAAAAGAAACUAACAAGGAUUCCCCUAGUAACUGCGAGUGAAGCGGGAAAAGCUCAAAUUUAAAAUCUGGCGGUCUUUGACCGUCCGAGUU